GAAAUUUCCAGGGUACAAAGUGGAAAGCUGCGUCAUCAAGACCUCGUGACCUCCUGGGUGCUGUUUGAAAAUCAAAGUCACAAAGGCCAAAGGUCAUCUAACGCUCUACCUCCCACUGCUGCUGGGGCUGUUUUUAGCCUCUGUCUCUCGUUGGUUCACUCCUUCAUGACCUCCCAGAGGCUGUUCAAGGUUACCCUCUCACCCAGGGUGGGGCCGUCACACCAGAACUGCAAGUGCCUUGAGGGCUAGGCUAUGCCUCUUGUUUUCUUUAGUCUGAGGAACCCAGACCUAUUUACUAAGACAACAAACCUGCAUUGGCCUGACCAAACUUCCGGUCAUGGCGGAUUCUUCACCCACCUCUACAGAUUGGCCUUAGCGUUGCCUCAGGAAAUGGCCAAGGAGCUGAGGCAGGAGAGGUCUGUGCCAGGGUUUGGACCAGCCUUGGAGCUGGGAUCCCAACUUUUUUUUUGGAAAGCCAAUUAUUCCCAUGGAAACUCAGUUUCCUUUGUUAAAUAAUGUAAUUCCUAGGUCAGACUUUCUAGGCUUUCAGCUCUGUAACUGCCUCUUAGUAAAUGUUUUCUUCAUUCA